UACGUAGGAGACGAGCGUUGUCCGGAGUUACUGGGCGUAAAGGGUGCGCAGGUGGCGGCGCGCGUGGGGGGUGAAAUCGCCCGGCUUAACUGGGCGGGGGCCUUCCAGACGGCGUGGCUUGAGCAGCGGAGGGGGACGUGGAAUUCCGGGUGGAGCGGUGAAAUGCGCAGAUAUCGGGAGGAACACCGGUGGCGAAGGCGGUUCUCUGGGCCUUACCUGACGCUGAGGAGCGAAAGCGUGGGGAGCGAAUAGG
rnacentral:rRNA from 1 species